AAAGCAAUUGUAACCCCUGAGACUGCCAGGUGGAAGGUUUAGAAUUUGAUGGAAUUCUCCGUCCACUGAGAACACAGAAACCAGCAAGGGUAGAAAGCCAUGACAGUAUUGAUGGCAGGCUGAUGGCAGGAAGUGCGGAGCCUCACAUGAAAUGGGCCACUGCAGGGAUGUGGCCAGCCCUGAAUCAGCGAUUCAUCCCCAAAAGGAGCCUGUUUCUAACCCUUCGGCUAUGCAAGCCUGAAGCUGAAGUAGUUCGUCUCCCUCCCCACUGCUUUUGGUGUUUGGCUAUGCACUGAACUGGAUGAGGGCUAAUCAACUGAAACUCAGUCAGACAAGGCUGUGAUGCUGUUGGUGGGUGGCUCCUCCGACCAGAUGGAGGGUGUCUAACCUGUCCUGGAAGGGGAAGCAGGUUUGCAGCUUGGGGGGGCUCCUUGGUCCAUCUUUGUCACUUGAGGCUCAGGUGCCUCAGCGGCUCGGAGUGCCUCCUACUGGCUUUGGCUGGUGGCCCAGCUACGCCACUCUCUGGACACAGAUAACUUGUACUCUGCACUCUGGUAAUCUCUAAAUUUGAUAACUGCGAAGCACUCUACAUGGGACUGCUCAUGAAGAAAGUUCAAAAGCCUAGCUGGUGGAGAAUAAAGCAGCAAGGGCACAGGUAUGCCAAGAAUCCAGGUGUGGCUCACAAUCCUACCCACACUGUGCUUGCAAGAAACCCUCGGCAACCCUCUGCUUGGAGUGGAAAUAACCAGCAGGAACAUGCCCACUGCUUACAGAUGUCCCAGCAAGGGGAAAGGCUGCAAAACUGUUUGCAGGGAGCCACAUCUUAAUCUUCAUAUGAUCAACCCAGGAUGCACACCAACUGGCAGCACUGAAGUAGCGCUUCUCCCAUCAAGUGGCAUCAUCACCUGCUAGACACUGAUACGGUCAUACUCUAAACCCUUCAAUACUAAUAAGAGCUCACGACAGUAAUAAAAAUGCACCAUGUAAUUUAAAGCCUCCAACAAACAUUGGCCUAUGUACUGGUGCAUAUUCAACAGCAGCAUUAGGUUCUGGCCAGUGCCUAACAAUAAUAACUACUACUACUAAUACUAUUACUACUACUUCCUUCCCUGCCCCAUCUCCAUCAGGUCUGCACAAGUCUGGCACCUACAUAAAAGGUUGUUGCUGGUGUCUAAAAAUAUUAAGUAUUCAACUGGACCUCUAGGCUUUUUUAUGUUGGUGGGUGCCACAAAGGGUGUUGGCCUCUUUUUGGUCAAGCUGAAGAACUUCUUUUAAAAACACACCAUUCCAGGUUAAAAUAAUUAUUAGGUUACAAAACAAAUGACAGCUGCAACAUUAAAUCAGUACCUCACUGGUCACUUUUCUCAUCACUUACUCACAGCAACUGGCCCUAUGUCCCUCCUACAAAAAUGGACAAAUCAAUAAAAAAACCACGAAGCUA